rnacentral:rRNA from 1 species
GACGAACGCUGGCGGCGUGCUUAACACAUGCAAGUCGAACGGAAAGGCCCUGCUUUUGUGGGGUGCUCGAGUGGCGAACGGGUGAGUAACACGUGAGUAACCUGCCCUUGACUUUGGGAUAACUUCAGGAAACUGGGGCUAAUACCGGAUAGGAGCUCCUGCUGCAUGGUGGGGGUUGGAAAGUUUCGGCGGUUGGGGAGGGACUCGCGGCUUAUCAGCUUGUUGGUGGGGUAGUGGCUUACCAAGGCUUUGACGGGUAGCCGGCCUGGGAGGGUGACCGGCCCCAUUGGGGCUGAGAUACGGCCCAGACUCCUCCGGGAGGCAGCAGUGGGGAAUAUUGCACAAUGGGCGGAAGCCUGAUGCAGCCACGCCGCGUGCGGGAUGACGGCCUUCGGGUUGUAAACCGCUUUCGCCUGUGACGAAGCGUGAGUGACGGUAAUGGGUAAAGAAGCACCGGCUAACUACGUG